GUUUCUACUCUGCUUGUAAGCUCUUGUACAGACUGAAGGCAGCUCUUGGGUCUUUGUGGAAACAGACCUCUUCCCCUGGACUUCGCUCUACUGCAAAGUACAGAGUAGUCAAGGUGGCAUUGCAAGGAGCAGGUCAGUCAGUGAUGUGUAUCGUGCUGGAUCUUUUGGCUGUAACAGCGUGCACCUUAGAGAUGAAGUCAGGUUAUCUUACAGUACCUGCAAAGACAGGAUGUUUAUAAAAUUUCACCACUUCGCUUUUGGGUAAAAUGACUGAAAAUAGUAUUUUGGAUGAAAGAACGAAUGGUACCUCAGCAGCUACAGUGGCUUUAUAAUGAUGUAUAGAACCCUGAGCAGAGGUAUGGGUUUUGGGAUUCAGCAAUGCUUGUGAAAGAGUCGCUAUUUUAAAUAUUUAAAUUACUUCAGACUCCUUGGGAAAAUGAGAAGGUGAGGUAACUCCACCUUUCUCCCUUUCAUAGCUCACUCAGCAGGGUCAUGGUCAGGCUGGGACACAACCAGCAGUAAUUUCCCUGUGCAGCCUUUGGACCUGUUGGAUCAUAAUCCUACAAAAGCAUGGGGGUGUGCUCUGUAUUCCUUAACGUUUCUAAGUACUCGGGUUGCCACCUCCCAUUUCUACUUAGAAGUGAUCAGAGAUCUCUUGGAUGCUGCCUGGCAGAGAUCUGUUGAUGAUGGAUGUGAUUUGUAACUUCACACCAUGAGCGCUCUGUGUCUUUUCCUGAACACAUACCCAAAUGAAGGUUUCCGUGCUUGUUGAAUGCCUGUUAGGAGGGGGGGAAUGUAUUUUAAGGAAACCAGGGCAAGUACACAUCCUUGCCAUAACGCUCUUGUGGGCUGUGUAUAUGCUGCCUGGCUGAUCUGUAUUUUAUUUGACUUCAUCGAUGGCUUUUCAAAUGCAGAGUUCAACUUUCUACAUCUUGCUGCAGUUGAAUAUGGUGUGUUGUCUCGCUGCUGCCUGCCUUCAGCUCCCAACAUAAUGUCCCAUUGGCUUUUCAUGGGCAAAUACUCCUUUAAUUGUUUGUAUCCUGCCCUUUGGCACUUUCUUUCUCUUGUAAAAUGAGUCUCUUGCAAGCCUGGAGCUCGGCCUACGUUCCCAUAUUUAGAGGGAUGGAAACACAGCCAAGAAAUUUAUACUUAUUAUUGGGAUACGUAUGUAUUGGGAUACUGAGCUGAGUGUCUCGGUGCACCACAUUCAGAGCACUUGCAUGGCUUUGCUUACAGGCCUAAGUUUGAACUAAAAUAAUAAAAAAAAAUGUUCCAGCU